UACGUAGGGGGCGAGCGUUGUCCGGAUUUACUGGGCGUAAAACGCUUGUAGGCGGCCACGCCAAGUCGGAUGUGAAAUCUCCCGGCUUAACUGGGAGGGGUCAUUCGAUACUGGCGGGCUCGAGGCAGGUAGGGGGAAGCGGAAUUCCCGGUGUAGUGGUGGAAUGCGUAGAUAUCGGGAGGAAUACCGGUGGCGAAGGCGGCAUCCUGGACCGACAUUGACGCUGAACGGCGAAAGCUAGGGGAGCAAACGGG
rnacentral:rRNA from 1 species